rnacentral:lncRNA from 1 species
UUUUCUUAUAUACUCUUUGUUGUGGAUUAUGUAUCAAAAUGGGUGGAAGUUAAAGCCACCAAAACUAAUGACUCUCAAGUUAUUGUAGGUAUUGUCAAUGCUAACAUCUUUAAGAGAUUUGGAUUCCAAGAGCAAUUAUCAACGAUCAAAGAACUCAUUUUUGUAAUAGAUCGGUUGAAUCUUUGAUGAAGAAAUAUGGAAUGAAUCAUCAAGUAGCUGCCGCCUAUCACCCUCAAGCUGAAGUUUCCAAUAGAGAAGUUAAAUCCAUCUUGGAAAAAAAUAGUGAAUAUGGGUAGGAAGGAUUGGGGCCUUAGUUUAGAUGACGCUCUUUGGGGUUACCGCACAGCUUAAUAAAACCCUAUAAGAAUGUCUCCUUACCGGUUAGUUUUUGGUAAAGCAUGUCAUUUACCUAUAGAAAUCAAGCAUAAAGCCUAUUAGGCGGUUCAACAGUGCAAUAUGGACCUAGACAAAGUUGGGAUGUCAAGGUUAUUACAAUUGCAAGAAUUAGAGGAAUUAGGAUUGGAUGCUUAUAAGAAUUUGAGAAUUGACAAAAAGAAAUCCAAGUUGUUUCAUGAUAACAUGUUUCAUAGGAAAUAGUUUGAGAUUGGCCAAAAAGUGUUGCUAUAUAAUUCUCAAUUGAAGAUUAUGCCUGAUAAGAUUCAUUCUCGAUGGUUUGGUCCAUUUGUUGUUACUAAUUUAUUUUCUUAUGGUGCAGUGGAAAUUAAAAGUUUGGAUUCGAAUAAAAUUUUCAAAGUGAAUGGUCAUAGAUUGAAAAUCUUCCGUGAGGAUGAAAUUGCUCUGUGUCUUAUUAGGUUUUGUUUGGAUCGCCCUAUUUAUUUGGAUGACUGAAAUGUUUCAUGGCUUCAUUGAGCAAAACGACGAUAAACAAUUGUGCUAUUGGGAGGCAACCCAAAUGCUUUAUUUAUUUUUUAUUCUACUUUUUUACUUUCUUUCACCUACUUUAUUUUGUUUUCAGUUCUUAGGUGUUUUUAAUGAAGAAGUUUAAUUUCUAGGCAAGAGAUUAAUUUUAAUAAGGCAUGACCAUUAAAUACAACGUGUUUGUUGAAGAUGAAGCGUUGGGUGGUGCCACCUCCUUGUCCACCAUCACUCUAGACUAUUCAAGUCCAGAUUGCUUGCAAAUCAGGGGAUUUUUCUUUUUAUUUCUUAUGUAAGCAAUCUACUUUGUUCUACAUUGAGGACGAUGUAGAGUUUAGAUGUAGGGAGAGAUUUUUGUGAUAAAUAUGAUUAUUAUUGUUUAAGUUUUCAUUUAAGUUUGUUAAAAUUUUUCGUAGUACAUAAAUUUUUGAAUGCUUGCUUUGAAUCAAUUAUAUCAAGAGAAUUAUUCUUUUUGCAACCUUUUUGAAUAAGUAGACUAAGUAUUUGAGUAUGAGAAAUUGAUUUUUAAGCCUACCUUUAGAAUUACAAUUGGAUGGAACCUACACCUUUAGAUUGGAAGUUUGGUAAGAUUUGAUUUUCAUUAAUUAUAAUAUUCAGCUUUUAAUUAAUUUCUUGUUUAUCUCUAAUUUUAGUUCAAAAAACUCAAAAUUCCUUUUUUUUUUUUUAUUGUCUAAACUUUGAGAUUCUAAAAAAUUUAGCUCUCUUGGUAUUCGACCUGAAUACACUAUUUCUACAAGUUAAUUUAGGGGAAUUAGUAUUUAUUUUGAAAGGUUUCGAUAACUUUAUCAGACAUUUGGUAAAAACAUAUCACGUUCUUUUUAAUGUUGUUUUUUUUCUUGGGGAGUAAAAUGAGACGAAAUUAUAUUAACUCAAAAGAUGUAUGAUAUCUAGUAAGAACGUAUAAGUUUUAAUUUAUUAUUAUUUUGUUUUUAAGUAAAAUGAGAAGAAAUUAAUAAUCUUUAAAUAUAAACAACUUAACAAUAAUUUUUCAACAUCUAUCUUACAGUGUAGAUAUAUUUAAUUUUCAUAUAACAUAAAUCAUAUUAUAUAUAUAUAAGAAAAUACUAGUUACAUGGUAUAAACUAGUAUAAACUUUAAAAUGGACUUGGUCAAGUAGGUCACGUUUUAUUUUUCCUAAAAUACUGAAAAAGAUGUGGAAAUUGAAUAAAUGGCUGGAAUCUUGAAGGAGUAUAUUCAAAAACAUUAAUUUAGUCUAUACGUUGGGAAAGUAACCCUUCCUACACGUUGGGUUUCAAGACUCCUACCAACUAAAAUUUGUGUACUAGUAUGAAUGCUUCACUUUUUUCUUUCCAGGAACAUUCAAAUUAAUCGCUUAAUUUCAAGUCAAUAACUCAUAGCUUAUAUAGUUUUUGAGAAAUGUUGAUCAGCGUUUAGUGACAUUGAUGGGAGCGAUCAUUUAAGAAAAUAAAAUUAUAAUUAAAAAAGUUAUUCUUCUUGAAUUGAUAAAAUAAUAUAUUAAUAAUUAUUAUUAUUAUUAUAUAACCUUAACUAAUAUUUAGAGAUAUAACUUGGCCGAAUCCGUUACCUUUUUAACUUUUUUGGCGCAGAUGAAGAGGUUUUAUAUCUUAAUUUGUCAUAUUCAAAAAAAAUUGGUUGAGUCUUAACUCGAUUGACAUCAAUAUUGUUGUCAGUGCAAGAAGACGUGAGUUCAAAUACGCUGAAGCACAUUAUCCUUCUAUUUAAGUGUUGGAGAGAGGCUAUAAGUAGUUCUAGACAUUAUAUCAAAAAGAAAUAAGAAUCAUAAUGAGAUUAAUUAAUGUUUAAAAAAAAUUAGUUAUUUGUUAUCAAUCUAUUGAAUUAAAAUCAUGACAAAAUAAUUUUAAUAUUUUUUCAGUAAAAUGUAUAUGGAUAUAUAUAUAUUCAAAAGUUGGGUUGAUAUUUUUACACUGUCACAGUAGUGAAUUUAGUAAAUUUUUGAGCAAUUAGAAUUGAAUUAUAAUAUUUUUUUUAGAAUUUAAAAUAUAAUUUUAUUAUAUAUUAGUUUAUGAUUCCAUUAAUUUUUAACAAGUCUAAACAUUUUUUUUAUUUUGGCAUAAUGUUAAAUUUAGCCCUUAACGAUUACAUUUUUUCUUAAUUUUACCCUUAUUCUUCUUUUAAGUUAAAUUUGGCCCUCAACAUUUUAAAAAGUGUCAAAUUUGACAAUCAAUCUUUUGAAAAAUAGUUGAAAUGAUGUUCUUUUUAACAAGAAUACCAACUAAAAUGUUGCCUUUUUAAACAAGGCAGCCCGCGUGACAAUCUGCGUGUACUUCAUACUAAUUUUUUAUAUUUUUUAAAAUUAAAUUUUGAUAUGUUUUUUACUUUUUAUAAUUUUUGAAUUAUUUAUUGAUGUGACAUAUAAAACAAGUAGUGUUAUGUUAUCAUGAUGUGCACAUGAACGGGUGUGUUACCAUGCUAAUAUAUUUCAUUUUUAAAGGUCAAAAUGAAAUUUUACCAUAUAUAAAUUUAUAAUUUAAUAAUUCGUGAAGGAGAUAGAUUGUAAUUUAUUAUUAGGCCUUGACUGUCAAUAAAAUAUUUUAAUUCUACAAACCAUGUUUAAAUAUUGUCCUAGUAAAAACUCUUUGCAAAAUCAUUAACCUUAUUUAAACAACAUAUUUUUAAAAAUCCGGGUUGAAUAAAUUCAAAUUGUUAAAAUUUUAUGAUGAAAUGUGUUGACACCAUUUUUUUGAUGAAAACGGGGUCGACUUGGAUUUUGAAAAUAGAAUGAAAACGGGAGUCGCCACCAAUCUUUUUUGAUAAGGUGUGAUCGGGUCACCUCGAAAAGUGGUUGUUUUUAAUAAACGAUUUAAUUUUUAUUAAAACAAAGAUUUUGGUCUAUGAAAUUCAAAAAAAAAAAAUGGGUUCGGGAGUCGGUUACGCACGAGGAAGGAUUAGCACCCUCGAUACGCCCAAAAUUGGUACCUAGUUGAUUGAUUAGUGUCUUAGUGUCGAAAAUUGAAAAUUUGAAGAGUUUUAAAAAAAUACGAUCCUUAAAAGAAACUCUGAUAACGUGAAUUGAAAUAUAAGAUUCUCUUGUUCCGAAGGAAUAUCACAUCCAGCACGUUAGGACACGAUACUCUAAACCAUCGAAACCAAGAUCACCUUAUAGUUUAAUGAAAUCAUACUUUGAAGCUUUAAGAGGAUAUUUGGCUAUUUAGUCGAACGAGAAAUUGAAACCCAGCACGUUAGGGCACGUUUCCUCGAUUUUCCAAACGCGAAAUAUUGCCUUAUUUAGAAAAAACUUUCUUUUCGAUGUUUGGUGUUAAUGCAUGACAAAACAAUAACGAAUACGACAAGGUAAGUAAAGUAAUGUGAGUAACAACAAUACAAUAGGCAAAAAUGAAAUGAUGAGGCGAUUACAUAAACAACGCAAACGAAUAAAUAAAUAGAACAAACGUUUUAGAAGAGUGAAAGUGUUCAUGAAUAAAGAAACAAACACCAAAUAACAAUGAUGACAAUAAACACAAUUAUGUAACAAUGUGUAUGCAUGUAUAAUUUUAAGCCAUGAAAGUAAGGAAUGCAUAUAAAUUAUAGAGUAUGAAAACGUAUAUAAAUAUAUACAUAUAUAAAAAAAACUGUAAGUAUUAUAAAAUAAAAAUGUAAGUAUGUGCAUAUGUACACUUAAAAAUGUAUAUAGGUAUACUUAUUUUUUAGAUUAUAAAAUAUACACAAAAGAGGAAUAUAUGUUUAUACAUAUGUAGGAGUUAUAAAAUAUAAAACACGUGUAUGUACAAAUCUAUAACAUAAAAUAUGUGCGUAUGUAUAUUAUAAAAAAAUGUGUAUAUACAUGUUGUUGACACCCUUUUUUGAUGAAAACGGGGUCGACUUGGAUUUUGAAAAUGAAAACGGGAGUCGCCACCAAUCUUUUAUUAAGGUGUGAUUGGAUCACCUCGAAAAGCGGUCGUUUUUAAUAAACGGUUUGAUUUUAUUAAAACAACAAGUUUGGUCCGCGAAAUUCAGAAAACGGGUUCGGGAGUCGGUUACGCACGAGGAAGGAUUAGCACCCUCGAUACGCCCAAAAUUGGUACCUUAGUUGAUUACUUAAUGUCUUAAUGUCGAAAAUUGAAAACUUAGAAGAAUUAAAAAAAAUACGAUCCUUGUAUUAAAACGUUGAAAAUUUUCAGGAAAAUGGGUAUAUUUCACAUUAUUCGAGAAAGAGAAUCAUAUUCAGUAAGUUAGAAUACAAUGUCUCAAAUUCCCAAUACGUGAAUGAAUGCCAGAAUUUUACUUAUUUAAAAGAUAUUUUAUUAUCUCGGGUUUAGGAAAGGGAUCAUGCCCAGUAAGUUAGGACACGAUCUUUUCUUAAUUCCCGAGAUCGUUUCAAAACUUGAGUUUGAAAAGAUUAGUGUGUUUAGAUUUAUUGUGGAAAUCGAAACCCAGUAAGUUAGGGUACGAUCCUCUCGAAUCUAAACAAAAAUAUCAUUUUUUAAACAAAUUUUAUUAUCGAGUAAAAUAAAAACAUGAAGUCGUAGUAAGAAAAUGUGAAAGCAAAUUACAUUGUUAUACAUGACAAAAUCAUAAUGAAUACAAAAGUGUAAAAAUGAUACGAGCGAUAGCAACAAUAUAAAAUAAAUAAAAGUCAAACCUACAAUCAUAUAAAAUAACAAUAUAUAUAAACAAAUAAAUUAAACAUUCGUUCAAAAUAAUAAUGAAAAUGAAAUAAAUAAAUAAUGAAUACAAUCAAAAUUCAAAGGGAUAUAUAUAUAUUUAUAUGUAUAGACAAAAGAAAAUAAAAUAUGUGUGUAUUCAUAAAUUACAAUAUAUAUAUAUGUAAAGUAUACUUUAAAAUAUAAAAAUAUGCAUAUAGAUAAAAAUAUGUACACAUAUAUAUAGGUGUAUAAAAUUAUGGAAUAUGAAAAUAAUGAAAUGCAUAUAUAAAGUAGGCGCAUGAAAAUAUGUAUGUACAAAUUAGAAUUUAAAAAUAGUGAAAAUAUACCGACGUAUACAAAUAAGUACGUUAAUUUAUAUAUAUAUGUUUAAAAUAUAUUGAAAAUAUGUAUGUAUAUGUCUAUGCAAAUUAAGAUAUACAAAAACAUAUAAAUACAUACAUAUAAAUAUAUAUACUUAUAAAAAUAAAAAUAUGUAUAUGUAUAUAGAUAUAUAUAAAAAGAAAUAUGAGUAUACGUAUAUAUAUUAAACAAAUUAUAUGUAAAAUAUGUACAUGUACAUAUACAAGCACUUAUAUGAUGAUAAUAAGAUAUAUAUUUGAAAAUACAUAAGUAUAUAUGAAUAGAGAUGUAAAAGUAACAACAAUAAUACCAAUACUAAUAAUAGUAAAGAUGAUAAUAAUAAUAAUAAUAAUAAUAAUAAUAAAGUUAACAAAAAUUGACUAAAUAAUAAAAUAUGCUAAAGGGGCCUUAAAUCGAAAUGAAAUAAAACAUAUAGGGCCAAUUCGAAAUAAAGGAAAACGAAAGGGAUCCAAUUGCGACGCGCGUAAAAAGGGAAGGACCGAAACAGAAAAUAAACCCAAAAUCCCAAAACGCAGCACCUCAAUGGACUAAAAUAAAACAAAAAUAAAAUGUUAGGGCUAAAUCAAAAUAAAAUAAAACAACAAAAUAGGACCAAAUUGAAACACGCCGCGAAUCAGAGGGACUGCGCGCAUAAAUUGCCCAAAAAACUAAAACACGCGGAUCCUUCGGGUCGGGUCGGGUCGACGCGCGGAUCCCCCUUUGCUAAAACGGCGCCGUUUUGUGUUUAGUAUAAAUAAUAAGAAAAACCAAAAAAUCAAAUCAGUUUCAUCUUUAAAAAAAAACAGAGAGAGAGAGAGCUCUCUCCUCUCUCAUCUUCCUCCCCAGAAUCCGGCCGCCGGUCCGGCCCGGCUUCCGGCGUAGCACCGCCGCGCGCGGUGGCCGACGCCUCAAAAUCAGAUCUUUUUUAUCCUAGUUCAAAGUUGAGUGCCUCUUAGGCACGGAUCUGGGGCCGAAUCUCGUGAAACAAAGGCCCAAAGACCCGAAAAAGGGCGAAACCGCUCGCCUUCCUCCACGUCCGGCGCGGUGCAGGUAAAAAAGGGUAAAAAGCCUUCUCCUUUAUUAUUUCUCUUUAUGUUUUCAAGUUAAAAAUAAAUAAAUAAACUUGAAAGAAAUAAAAACAGUAAGCAAAAGAAAAGAUAAAACUAAGCAAAAAAAUCUUCAACCUUUUUCUUUCUGUUCUCCUUUAAAAAUCGAGGCCGAACCCCCCCCUUUUUACAGCGUUCGGCUUUUGCCGAAAGAGAGAGAAAAGAAUCCCAGAAAAAAAGUCCCGUUUAAUUCUCCUUCCCCCCUCUUUAUCACCGAUUACAAUACCUAUUUAUCUAUUUCUAUUUUUGUUUUUGCCUCUGUCUUGCGUGUUUUUUUCUCUCCUUGCAGGUGGUUGACUUGGAGCGGGUGGCGCAGUGGAGUGGGUGGUGCCAGAAGGGCAGGUGAGGCAGCCAGGAGCAGGUGCGGCACAACAGGGGGGCUAGGGUUUCUGCCCUAGUCUGACUGGGUUUGGGGCCGGUCGGGCUUAUUGGGCCGAUUGGGUUGUGAUUGGGCUUGGGCAAAUGGGCUGUACA